UACGGAGGAUGCGAGCGUUAUCCGGAUUUACUGGGUGUAAAGGGAGCGUAGGCGGUGCAGCAAGUCAGAAGUGAAAGCCCGGGGCUCAACUCCGGGACUGCUUUUGAAACUGUUGAACUAGAUUGCAGGAGAGGUAAGUGGAAUUCCUAGUGUAGCGGUGAAAUGCGUAGAUAUUAGGAGGAACACCAGUGGCGAAAGCGGCUCUCUGGUCUGUAACUGACGCUGAGGUUCGAAAGCGUGGGUAGCAAACAGG
rnacentral:rRNA from 1 species